ACGAACGCUGGCGGCAGGCCUAACACAUGCAAGUCGAACGCCCUAGCAAUAGGGAGUGGCAGACGGGUGAGUAACGCGUGGGAACGUACCCUUCGGUUCGGAAUAACCCAGGGAAACUUGGACUAAUACCGGAUACGUGCGAGAGCAGAAAGAUUUAUCGCCGAAGGAUCGGCCCGCGUCCGAUUAGCUAGUUGGUGAGGUAAUGGCUCACCAAGGCGACGAUCGGUAGCUGGUCNGAGAGGAUGAUCAGCCACACUGGGACUGAGACACGGCCCAGACUCCUACGGGAGGCAGCAGUGGGGAAUAUUGGACAAUGGGCGCAAGCCUGAUCCAGCCAUGCCGCGUGAGUGAUGAAGGCCCUAGGGUUGUAAAGCUCUUUCGCCAGGGACGAUAAUGACGGUACCUGGAUAAGAAGCCCCGGCUAACUUCGUGCCAGCAGCCGCAGU
rnacentral:rRNA from 1 species